UACGGGGGGGGCAAGCGUUGUUCGGAAUUACUGGGCGUAAAGGGUUCGUAGGUGGCCAACUAAGUCAGACGUGAAAUCCCUCAGCUUAACUGGGGAACUGCGUCUGAUACUGGUGUGGCUUGAGUGCAGGAGAGGAACGCGGAAUUCCAGGUGUAGCGGCGAAAUGCGUAGAUAUCUGGAGGAACACCGGUGGCGAAGGCGGCAUCCUGGACCGGUAUUGACGCUGAGGCGCGAAAGCUAGGGGAGCAAACGGG
rnacentral:rRNA from 1 species